rnacentral:rRNA from 1 species
UACGGGGGGGGCAAGCGUUGUCCGGAAUCAUUGGGCGUAAAGAGCGUGUAGGCGGCUCGAUAAGUCUGCUGUGAAAGUCCAGGGCUCAACCCUGGAAGGCCGGUGGAAACUGUCGGGCUAGAGUCCGGAAGAGGCGAGUGGAAUUCCCGGUGUAGCGGUGAAAUGCGCAGAUAUCAGGAGGAACACCGAUGGCGAAGGCAGGUCUCUGGGCAUUAACUGACGCUGAGGAGCGAAAGCAUGGGGAGCGAACAGG